rnacentral:lncRNA from 1 species
GCCCCUCCGCUCCCCGGGCAGCGACCCCCCAGCCAGGCGUCACGGCCCUGCGGCUGUGCCGCUUUACCCUGCCUCCCGCCCCCGCGCUGCCUGGCCCAGGGCUAAGGGGGACCCGUUGCUGCCACCCAGUGGAGGAUAUUUUAUUUAUUUUAUUUUGGGUGUACGUGAGAAAUCCUAUUGGUUUAAGUAAAAGUGCCGGUGAGCGAAAAGCACGCCGUUCCAGUUUGAGAGGACGCUCGGAGGGGCUGGCUAAGAUAAGCGGCCUGGCGUUGUCAGUGACCCAAACGCACGAGGCAGCAGAUAACAAACCUUUGUUCGCAGCAGCGCACAAACAACAUUUGUCCAAGAUGACGCUGUUGUUCUCUCCAGGCUUUCAUAAUUCGUGACUGCAAGACAAACAACUUUUAUCAAUGCCUGUCAGUACGCCCUUGAAUCCAACCUGCUAUUCCUGUCUGACUGUCUCAAAAAAAGCUCCCGAAAGAAUUCAGAGUGGUGGAUUUAAUACAGAUUAACAAUGGAUUGGCAGCUGCCUGGCUGUAGGUGGUGCUGACUGCAGGUGGUGCUGUUAAACCUGUAUUUUACAAGGAUUAAAAUCCAUCCAGACUGUGGCAGAAAUUAAAAUAUUCAAUGUUCAUAUUAUAUGCAGGCAAGCAGUACAGAGUGGAAUCCCUGCUGUUAGCAUGGUCUAAAGGUAUUCACUGUGCGGCAGCUCGGGUUAGUAGAUGAGACCAUCAGGUAAUGUAUUCUCAUCUCUGAGCUAUUACCCAAAAAGGCAGCUGGGAUCAAUUAGCUGCACUUUGUCGGUAUGUGACAGAUGAAAGCUGAAGGAGUGUGGAAAGAAGGAAACACACCCACAGAUGCUUGUCAGCAGUAGGUGUGUUUUCCCUGAGGUAUGUCUAAAGCAUGCAUUUGACUGCUUGGCUUUAUGCAUAUUUGUGAUUGCAGAUCUGACGGGAGAUCAGCCCAUGAUAGCAGGCAUUAUUUUCAUCUCUCAAAGUUGUUCUAAUUUUUAAUAUUUUCAGUUGCUGUUUCAGUUUGCUGCUUAUGAAAGGCUUAUUUAUUAUUUCGGAGAUCGAUGGGAAAUAUUUCCCACGUAUUACCUGGUGUUUAGAAUCUGGAAGCAAAAAAUAAUUGUUUCACAUUUCAAAAGUUCCUCUCCAAUCGGAUGUCUGUUCAGUCCCUGCUGGGUCUUCGCCGGGCUUUGUGUCUCCCAAAUCCUACCGCUGUAGGUGCUGGUUGCACAUGUGGUGGAGUUGGCCUUAACAACACAGGGCGAGAGCUGAGCACUGAGUGCAGGGGCUUGCUGCGAUCUCUGAUUAAUUCUUUCUCCUGAUGAGUCGCACCGCUGUAUGAGCACUUUAUAAAUUAAGCAUAAUGCAGCCUGGAGUGUUAGCUUUACGUUCUCCUGUUUGGGAGUCCAGGACUAUGCAGACGUGGGAAAAACGCUGUGUAAAAAUAAACACAUGUCACAGAUGCUGGGAAGGAAAUUG